rnacentral:tRNA from 1 species
GGGCCCGUAGCUCAGCUAGGGAGAGCGCCGCUCCUUCUCGGAUCGGAGGUCGUAAGUUCGAGUCUUACCGGGUCCACCA